rnacentral:rRNA from 1 species
GACGAACGCUGGCGGCGUGCUUAACACAUGCAAGUCGAACGAAGUGGCGAACGGGUGAGUAAUACGUGAGUAACUGCCCUCCUUUUUGGGAUAAGCCUUGGAAACGGGGUCUAAUACCGAAUAAAGGGGGCUGGGCUCGCGGCCUAUCAGCUUGUUGGUGGGGUGAUGGCCUACCAAGGCGGUGACGGGUAGCCGGCCUGAGAGGGGACCGGCCACAUUGGGCGACGAGACGGCGCAGACGCCUACGGGAGGCAGCAGUGGGGGAUAUGGCACAAUGGGCGAAAGCCUGAUGCAGCAACGCCGCGUGCGGGAGGACGGCUUUCGGGUGGGAAACCGCUUUCAGCCAGGACGCGGUAGUGGCAGAAGAAGCACCGGCUAACUACGUGCCAGCAGCCGCGGUAAUUC